rnacentral:lncRNA from 1 species
AAAGGUUUCUAUCCACAGUGGGGGAUGGGUGAGAAGACUUAGAAUCCUGAGGGAAGAGGAGAUCCCAGGGGAGAGGCAGUUGAUCUCUCUCUGAAUUGAGACAGCAAAAAAGACUGAAUCCUGAGCAAAACUCUCAUCCUUCUGAACCUCUCAGAGGUUUAGGCUAUGUGAAGAUUGGAAUUAAACCAUCUCCUGAUUAUAACAAUGAAGGUAUUUAGCUCUUCCUUGAUUGUGAAGAUUAAAUUGUAAUCCCCUGAUUGUAACAAUGAAGGUACUUGGCUCUUCUUUUAUUGGGAAGAUUGAAUUGUAAUCCACAAUCUAUUUUUAAAUUUUAAUCCCCAAAAAAGUGGUAACCCAGUAUUUGAAGUAGAUCUACCCAUUUUAAUCUACGAAAAGUGCAACUCAGUAUUUGAAGUAAAUCUACCCAUUUUAAUCUACAAAAAGGUGCGAACUAUCUACUAAAGAUGCAAACUAACUAUAAAAGGUGUGAUCUAACCAAAAAAGGUAUAAUCUAACCAAAGGUGUGAACUAAAGAGUAGGCAUUCCUGGAGAGGAGCUCUGCUGUGAUUGUUAGACAUUAAAUUUAGGGGAGGUGACACAAGAGAAAAAUAUCUUUAAAAAGAGGACCAGAGGCCAGAAGGAUCAUUUGAAAAGAUUUGAUAUUCGAGGAGAUUCAAGAAAUAUUAGAUUUGAGUUAGAUUGAAGAACUCUGACUCAGAGUUGGACUGGAAAAUAUUCAAGAUUGGAUAUUCAAGCUUUCGAGAUUUGUGAUAGAGUGAAGAGUCACUCCGGGGAGAGACUGGAAGAUGGACACUCAGACUUGGCUAUGGAACUGGACCCCUGGAGGAGUCCGUGCAGGAAACCUCAGUCUGCUUUCCUUUUAGACAGUCAACAUUGUUUCAGGUCUUUUCAGAGCUUUCUUGAAGCCACUUUGGAAACCUAUCUCCUAGGUUCAAGAAGAAAGAUGGAUGAAGUCAACCCCACUUCAGGUUGCUGAAGGAAAAGAUUCUUGGAAGACAUGAGAGGAGCUGACAAUGUCUAUCCUGUCCCUGUCCCCAGCUUGCCACACUAAUGACUUUGGGGAAUUAUCCCUUAGGUGAAAUCUAGGAUUCUCUCUUCAUUGAGCCAAGUUAUCCCAAUUCCAGUGAGAGAGUUCCUUCACUCUAUAUUGUCUGGUUUGUAUGCUAAUGUUUACUUUCUCUGAUUUUUAUUUUGCUACUGAUUCAAAUAAAUGAAUUUUAUUUGAAAAUUGCUAUGUGAUU